rnacentral:misc_RNA from 1 species
AAGUCGUAACAAGGUUUCCGUAGGUGAACCUGCGGAAGGAUCAUUACCGAGAGUCUACCUCUCCACCCUAUGUUUAUUGUCCUCUGUUUCUUCGGCGGGCCGUAGAAGGCCGCCGGCCUACCUGAAAAGUAGGCUGGGCUAGGCCACCGGCCCGUCGGUAGUAACUCUGUAGUCGAACGUGUCGUCUGAGUUUGGCUUCCAAUCAGAACAAAACUUUCAACAACGGAUCUCUUGGUUCUG